rnacentral:tRNA from 1 species
AAUAAAGUGGCUGAGAUAUAAGCGAUAAAUUGUAAAUUUAUUUACGAAAUUUAGUUUCCUUUAUUA